AUCUGGUGCUGCCACCUGAUAGUAGUAAUUGUGUUCGUCUCGAUGAUAGUAACUGCGUCAAAAUUCGUGAUGAAGUAUUCGUGGCUCGUUGAAGUGUUCGAUCGUUCGCGAAAGAUUUAUGGUGAUCUUACGUUAUCGAAACGAACGAAUUUCUCGAUUCUGGACGAAUUCUCUCGGCCGAACGAAAUUGAAUGAACGUUGAACGUACAACGUCGAGUGAAAUGUUUGUACGUGAUACGUGUAACGUUUCAUGGCGUGGAACUCGUUCGAGAUUCUACACGAUGGUUCAUCCUGGGAUAUCACCUGGUUAAGCAGUCUUGUAGUCACCUUGCUCGUGGCCUCGGUAAACGGAGCUCCGACAAUGACUGUCAAUGCCAGACGGCUGAGUUCGCCACCAAAGUGGGUAAAUCCCUGUGGUCUUGCCGCCGAAGACUUCGAUAGUGAUCCCGACGUCGAACAAUUGCGAGACGUGCAACUAUUAACGCAGGUUGUGGUACAGGCGAAAACGGCACUGAUGCACGCUCAACUCUUUCGGGACGAUUACAUCAAACGGACUUUUAAAGUUGACUUUGCCGAUUGGCACUUGCAAUGGAAGGACAAUCAUUACGAUUGGUUGCCUAGUAGGGAGGAUAUACCGAAGCAAUUGGGGGAACAAUUGCAGCAACAAUAUUUGGACAGUUUGGAGCUUGAUAGAUCACUUCUUGAUGCGUACGAGUACAUGCAGAAAUACGCGGUUGGUCUCGAGCAAAUUGUAUGGGACCAAGAGGACAAUGGUCUUGAGUUUCGCGAUCAGUUUAAGGAUACCGAAUUCAAGCUCCGAACGAUUGAAGUACGGCAACGAAUCUAACGAUCGAUCUAUAUUAUUUCAUCUGGAUGGAAAUGGUAUAAGUAUAAAUUCCAAUCGUUGGGAUAGAUAAGUGUACCCUCGCCUAUCUCUCGUAUUAAAAAAAAAAAAAAAAAAAAAAAAUAAGAAAAAAUAACAUUUCAUAUGAUCGAUCAUCAUGUCGGUCAGUUCUUCUUUCAGAUAGAAGGCAAAUUAUAAAAGCCCAAUAAUCAAUCGAUUAUAUAUCAUCAGGAACGAGAUAGAGGCCCUUAUGGGAAGAAUAUCCGAGCGAGUAGUUUUGUGAUGGCGAGGAAGAAGAAGAAGAAGAAGAAGAAGAAGAAAAGGUAGAAGAAGAAGAAGAAGAAGAAGAAGAAGAAGAAGAAGAUGAAGGUUUAAGAAGGCAAGUGCCCUAAGCGGCCUGCCGGCGCGGUUCUCCUCGUAGCGCGACGAAGAAGACGACGAGGUCGCGACAUCGUGACCACGGCCAGCCACUGAUUUACAUAUUGUCCACCGCUGAAUCCCAGCAUCGCGGCUCUUUGUUUUGGAAUGCCUGCCGAGAGCGAGGAGAGGAUUCCUCGCUUCUCUCUUUCUCUCUUUCUCUCUCAGCCUUUCUCGCUUUCCGUUCGUAAUAGUGCACGGAUCCAGACGCUGGUGCUAUCCGGCGAGCCACCAACGUCGAUCUCCCCGAGAACUCCGAGUGAAGGCGUCGGGGUAAUGCAUUCUCUCAUUUUUCGAAGCUACGCUGUUCUACCAUCUCUGUUAGUUCGAUCUGUUUCUUUGUUAUUAGCUUAGUUAUUAUCUUAUGAUAAUAACUUUCUUUGUUAUUAUCUUAUGAUACAUAAUGUCUAAGAAAUUCAUAAAAGAUAAAUAGAUAGAUAGAUAGAGGGAGAAAGAGAGAGAGAGAGAGAGAGAGAGAGAGAGAGGUAAUUUGGAAAAAAGAAAAGAAUAAAAGUAACGAUUUAUUAAUUUUAUUAAAUCGAUAUAUUCGAAACGUUGAAAAGAAAGGAAUGAUAAAGCUAUCGAAGAAAAUUUUUCUCUGAUUUAAAGUGAAAAUUUGUGAAAAGAUUAUUCUACGAUGAAUAUUAUUAAAUAUUUUAAAGAAAUUUGUUUUU